GAGAAUUGUGAUGCCCGGAUCAUUAAGCUACAGUAAUCCCCCGUUAAUGGUGCCAUGUCAUCACAUUACUGUUGCUAAUCCUUGUUUGAUCCAACUCUUAGUUCAAACUCAAAUUCAAAUUAAAGCUUAAAAUUUAAAUUUCCCGACCAUGCAAAAUAAAAUGUUCAAAGUGUGGGAAAUAUUACAUAACUAAUUAUGGUGGUGAUCCAACACUUUUGUAAAGUAUUUGAAUGCUCUUUUGUGAAUAUAACAGUGACUAAAAAUAAUUGUUAAAUGCCUUUCCUAAUUUAAAAUUUUAAACUAUUUUUAUUAUGUGUGAAACCUUUUGUGGUUGUGGUUUAUUUUGUAAAUCGAUUUAUAGAGACAGUCAUAUGUUUUAGUAAAGCUGUUUUUGCCUACUAAAAUAAUAUAAACAAAGUGUAAUAAAAAGAAAGAAAACCAAAACGAAACAAAAUAAAUAAAUAAAAAGAACCAGCCUACCCCCGGGCUUUGGCCCACUAAACCAUCAGGCCGGCCCACCCUCACCGAACCCUCCUCUCUCUCCUAUUCACGCGACCAGGUCGCUACAGGGGCUUGGUCGCCGCCGCACCCUCUCGCCGACAGCGCCGGGAGGGGAUAAGGGCGCCACGCCCCGACCCCUCGAUCCCACCCCCCCACUCCUUCCCUCUCUCCCUCCCCACAGAUCUCCCAUGCCCCAAGCACGUCCAUGGCCGCGUCAUCAUCGUUCCCAUGGCCGGAGCCGUCCCCGACCCGUGAGGUUAUGCUCUGCAGCUCCGUUGACCUCGUCUGCAUCGCCUACAACCUUCGGUUCGAGCUGAAGCCCUCCACAACCUCGCCAUCUGGUCGUCUUCCCCGCCACGGCCACGGCGCCAUCGCCGUCGAUCUCCAUCACCGGCGCCUCCCGGCGGUUCCAGGCACGUCCACGACCUCCCUCGAAACACCGAGAUCGACGCCACUGCUACCCAGUACGACUACGGAGUUGACGACCCCUCUCUCUUGCCAGAGCAACCAG